rfam:Microgenomates bacterium GW2011_GWA2_37_6 TS51_C0017, whole genome shotgun sequence.
GCUGGGUUGGCGGAGUAGUCAAUCGCAUCAGACUGUAGAUCUGACGCCCGUAAGGGCUCCGGGAGUGCAAAUCUCUCACCCAGCA